rnacentral:misc_RNA from 1 species
GGCUGUCUGAUUCACUUAUUUACGAAUAAAAGAAACAUAAACAAAAGAUAGUUAAUCCAAAAGAGCUUUUACAUCAGCAAGAGCAAACUACCAAAAUAAGAUUCACCCAUAGUUGCACCGUUGAUAGCUUGAAGAAAAGAAAGGCAAUCAGUUUCAACUUGAACAUGGGAGAAGCUCUGUUCCUUGAGCCAACUAGGGCCCCUCUCUUACCGCAUAAACUUCUGCAAGCCGUGGAGUUGCUUUGUAGCAUAUAAAAAGUGACACUCCGCAUCCCUUAGUACCCAUCCAUACCCGUUCUCCCAUUGCAAAGGUCAACAGCCCCAUCCAAAUUGCACUUAAUCGUGCCAUGCGGUGGAGGUUACCAUUGACUGGCUGGUUGAACAGGUUGCAUAAAGAGCCAAAGUACUUGAGCCCCUUGCCACUUAUCAAGAGCAGAUUUGGCUAGCGUCAUCACCCUGUGCUGUGGCUAGUUGCCCCUGGCGCCAAACCACUCCAUUUCUAUCAUAGCACAGGCCCAAAAGAGCACAAGAGCCAAUUCACUUCAAUGCAUGUCAUCGCGCUAAUCAAGCGCCUCAAUCAAUUGCCCAAAGACAUCCUCCGACCCAGCCCACUCAGCAACCAUACUUCCUUUGCAGCAUCACAUUCCACCAGUGCAUAAAGAGUAGUCAGCUCAAUGACAGCACAAACUGGGCAAACAGGCAUACAGUCAACACGUCACUUGACCUUCCAAAACCACCACACCUUCGGCAAAUAAGUAACAGAUUGGUGGGACAAAGUACAGUUAAAUUGCACUCUGUAUCCACUUCGCACUCUUGGUAAAUUACAAUUAUUUUUUAAUAAAAAUUUGGAUGAAAGAACUUCCAAACCCAGAGUUUACCAUUACUUUAAUUGCAAAAUUACGGUUGCCCAAAGAAAAGACGAC